UCAAGAAAGACAUACCAAUACAUACAAAACGGCAAUGGAAAAGGAAAAAUGUCUGCCUUCCUAAGUUCCCUUCCCUAAUCCCUAAUAUUUCUUUGAGUCUUUCUAGCAAUUGGAGUCAUUGGAAUAUCAUCCUUCAUCCCUCCUUCGACAGUUUUUAGACCCUGCUGUUUUUAGCCGACGACCAAUUUAGUCAAGACUCGAGAGAUUUUGUGAAAGCUGCUUCCGCUUCCCAUCGUUGUCACCACUUCUAGCCGUUGCUAUCACCAUCCACCCCUAAACGGAGUGACAACUAAUAAGGCACAACUAAAGCUUAAAAGACGCUGCCUCCAACUUGUAAUCACCAAGGAACUCCUCUGGUUGUAAGCUCCAGCACCAGCUCCAGAACCUUAGAAUCUUUUAUCGUCGUGGAUCGUCAAGACGAACUCGCUCUUCACAAAUCGGAACUCGAGGAGACAGACAGACAGACUUCUUGACUCUACUGUUCACGUGGAAAUUUGCAAGCGUACGGAUCGUUGACAAGUAAUAAAAAUCGGUGAGUUUCAAAUUUAUCGUUUCCAUUAGAAAUAAGGUAUAAUAUCAAGUUCAAUAAUUU